GAGUCCCAAGAAAAAUCACUUGAGACACCAAGAAAAUGGGGGAAGUGCUAAAAUUGUGUGGGAAUUCAAGCUUAACAAUAAACAUCAAGACAUUUUUGAUAAAAAUGAAUCCACUGACAUCGGGGAGGAGCAAGAGAACAGCACGCUGACACUGGGUCAGAGGCUAAGACCGACAUUUCUGGGAACCACUCCCGGAAGGGCACAGAGGAGACGCUUUCAGCCUCUCAUCAGCCAGCCUGGCCUGUAGCUGCUGCACGUUAUGAGUGUGUUCCUGGCAUGACUGCUUCUAACAGCGACCAUUUCAUUAAGUUUUUAAGUGCCUGGUAAUUGCUUGGUUAUGACCGGUGUCUGCUCCAUGGCAGCCUCUUCCUGAAGAAAUGCUGAGGCAGUGUCACGCUGGUGUCUGUCCUCCUUACAGAAUGCCUGAACAGUUCCAUUGACUCAAAGUGAAGAUCAAAAGAACCAAAUGACAGCAAUAGCCAAGUGUAAUCAUCAGUAACCCUGUGUUCUAUCCACAGUUAAAAGAAUAUUGGCAGAGAAACAGCCUUGGUGUUCCAGCAGGAGUGAAGAGGAACAGGAAAACGAGUGGCA
rnacentral:lncRNA from 10 species